rnacentral:rRNA from 1 species
UGGUAGUCCACGCCGUAAACGAUGUCGACUUGGAGGUUGUGCCCUUGAGGCGUGGCUUCCGGAGCUAACGCGUUAAGUCGACCGCCUGGGGAGUACGGCCGCAAGGUUAAAACUCAAAUGAAUUGACGGGGGCCCGCACAAGCGGUGGAGCAUGUGGUUUAAUUCGAUGCAACGCGAAGAACCUUACCUACUCUUGACAUCCAGAGAACUUAGCAGAGAUGCUUUGGUGCCUUCGGGAACUCUGAGACAGGUGCUGCAUGGCUGUCGUCAGCUCGUGUUGUGAAAUGUUGGGUUAAGUCCCGCAACGAGCGCAACCCUUAUCCUUUGUUGCCAGCGGUUCGGCCGGGAACUCAAAGGAGACUGCCAGUGAUAAACUGGAGGAAGGUGGGGAUGACGUCAAGUCAUCAUGGCCCUUACGAGUAGGGCUACACACGUGCUACAAUGGCAUAUACAAAGAGAAGCGACCUCGCGAGAGCAAGCGGACCUCAUAAAGUAUGUCGUAGUCCGGAUUGGAGUCUGCAACUCGACUCCAUGAAGUCGGAAUCGCUAGUAAUCGUAGAUCAGAAUGCUACGGUGAAUACGUUCCCGGGCCUUGUACACACCGCCCGUCACACCAUGGGAGUGGGUUGCAAAAGAAGUAGGUAGCUUAACCUUCGGGAGGGCGCUUACCACUUUGUGAUUCAUGACUGGGGUGAAGUCGUAAC